rnacentral:pre_miRNA from 1 species
CGGACCACGUUUGGUAUUACCAUGAGUUCCCUGCAAGCACUUCACGAGGCCCAAUUAUGAUGGCUACUGUGAAGUGUUUGGGGGAACUCUUGGUGUCACCAAGCUUACACAAAUAAAAAGA